rnacentral:rRNA from 1 species
GGGGAAUAUUGCACAAUGGGCGAAAGCCUGAUGCAGCAACGCCGCGUGAGUGAUGAAGGCCUUCGGGUUGUAAAGCUCUGUCUUCUGGGACGAUAAUGACGGUACCAGAGGAGGAAGCCACGGCUAACUACGUGCCAGCAGCCGCGGUAAUACGUAGGUGGCAAGCGUUGUCCGGAUUUACUGGGCGUAAAGGAUGCGUAGGCGGAUGCUUAAGUCAGAAGUGAAAGCCCCGGGCUCAACCUGGGAAUAGCUUUUGAUACUGGCAGGCUUGAGCUCCGGAGAGGAUGGUGGAAUUCCCAGUGUAGAGGUGAAAUUCGUAGAUAUUGGGAAGAACACCGGUGGCGAAGGCGGCCAUCUGGACGGACACUGACGCUGAGGCGCGAAAGCGUGGGGAGCAAACA